CGGGGAUCUUCUCCUUCCUCCGGAAUCCCCAAAGGGGGCGUGAGUGGCCGUCACGCUGCAGCUGCCCCCGCGGGGGCACCAUGGGCGCCCAGUAAUUCCUGGAGCCCCACUGUUGGUUGUCUAGGAGACUGUGUUUCCUUUCACGACAGUCAUUCAGGAGCAGUGAGGGCUGUGUUGAGAUUGGGAGGUCCACCUUUUCUAGGACUGACAGAAGGGAUCAUGGACACCAGAGAGCCAGGACCUGGCGAACUUCCACCUUUACUCCUCUGAGUCGCAAACAGAUGUGUUUCCAAGUACAGCAAGACGGUGACUACCUACAAACCAGGAAGAGGGUUCUCACCAGAUGUUGAAUCUGCAGAUCUUGAUCUUAGACUUCCCAGCCUCCAGAACAAUAAGGAAUAAAUGUUCACUAUUUAC